rnacentral:rRNA from 1 species
CCUACGGGUGGCAGCAGUGAGGAAUAUUGGUCAAUGGGCGAGAGCCUGAACCAGCCAAGUCGCGUGAGGGAGUACUGCCCUAUGGGUUGUAAACCUCUUUUGUCGGGGAGCAAAAGCCGGACGUGUCCGGCUGUGAGAGUACCCGAAGAAAAAGCAUCGGCUAACCCCGUGCCAGCAGCCGCGGUAAUACGGAGGAAGCGAUCGUUAUCCGGAUUUAUUGGGUUUAAAGGGUGCGCAGGCGGAUUUUUAAGUCAGCGGUAAAAUCGUGGGGCUCAACCCCAUCCAGCCGUUGAAACUGGGGAUCUAGAGUGUGCGAGAGGUAUGCGGAAUGCGUGGUGUAGCGGUGAAAUGCAUAGAUAUCACGCAGAACCCCGAUUGCGAAGGCAGCAUACCGGUGCACAACUGACGCUCAGGCACGAAAGCGUGGGUAUCGAACAGGAUUAGAUACCCGAGUAGUC